rnacentral:rRNA from 1 species
UGGGGAAUAUUGGACAAUGGGCGAAAGCCUGAUCCAGCCAUGCCGCGUGUGUGAAGAAGGUCUUCGGAUUGUAAAGCACUUUAAGUUGGGAGGAAGGGCAGUAAGCGAAUACCUUGCUGUUUUGACGUUACCGACAGAAUAAGCACCGGCUAACUCUGUGCCAGCAGCCGCGGUAAUACAGAGGGUGCAAGCGUUAAUCGGAAUUACUGGGCGUAAAGCGCGCGUAGGUGGUUCGGUAAGUUGAAUGUGAAAGCCCCGGGCUCAACCUGGGAACUGCAUCAAAAACUGGCGAGCUAGAGUAGGGCAGAGGGUGGUGGAAUUUCCUGUGUAGCGGUGAAAUGCGUAGAUAUAGGAAGGAACACCAGUGGCGAAGGCGACCACCUGGGCUCAUACUGACACUGAGGUGCGAAAGCGUGGGGAGCAAACAGG